ACGUCCUCUGCCUCGCUCAACCUUUUGUUCUCUCUCAAAAAGUUUCGAGCUGGAUACUUAUCUUCUUUCUUUCCUUUUUAGGUGAGAGGAGAGAUCAAGUAAUGGACAAGAACAAACAUCUUCCGAAGGUCUUUGAGUACGACUGCAUAUCGUCAUGUUCUAGGAUUGCUUCUUCUUUGGUCGUAAUUUACCAUUCGGGACAUUU
rnacentral:snoRNA from 1 species